CCUCAUUUCAGUCUCUCAAGAUGAGAUGCCCUGCUCAGUUCCUGGGACUGCUGCUGCUCUGGAUCCCUGGAUCUAGUGGAGCUGUUGGGAUGACGCAGACUCCACUCUCCCUGUCCAUCAACCCUGAAGAGCCAGCCUCCAUCUCCUGCACUCCAGUAGGAGUCUCAUGCAUAGUGAUGGAAACAUACUUGCAAUGGUACCUGCAGAAGCCAGGCCAGUCUCCACAAUCCAUGAUCUGUAAGGUUUCCAACCAAUUUACUGGGGUCCCAGACAGGAUCAGUGGCAGUAGGUCAGGCAUAGAUUUCACACUGACAAUCAGCAGCGUGAAGCCUGAGGAUGAAGGGGUUUAUUACUGCCAACAGGGAUCCAGUGGGGAUAAUGUGACAUUACAGACUCUGCUCUUCCUAUCCAUCACCCCUGGAGGGCUGGCCUGCAUCGCUAGAAAACUCACACAGGGCCUCUCAGAGUAG